UCUAGCCCUGUUACUACCUCCAAAACAAUCCUUUGCUAUCUCAACCUUCUUGCUUGUUUCAACCUUCGACUCUUUGUUCAGAUUAAAUGAACCGGCCUCCACUAAGACCACCCCUCCCUCUUCUGUGUCUCCUCCAUUUAUUAAACCCAUACACCAACACCAUUAUUUUUUUUAAAAUUCAUUAUUAUUUGAUUCAAAUUUAAUCAAGGUAUUAGGCAUAUUAACGGAUAAAGGGGUGAUUUAUUGACUUGGUGCGAACAAGGGGGGGAAUCAUGGACAAUUGGCUCCGCAGAUUGGUGUUCAUUUGGGUGAGUUGACCAGGUAAGGGCUAGGUGGUGGGGCAAUGAAUGUGAUGAAAUGAGUGUGAGUGAGGUGGUGAGGGACUGAUUGGGUUUGAGCUGGAUCUAGUGGUGGGAACCAAUUUCACAUGCUUGCACAUGAUGUCUUAACUUAGUUACCCUCCCAACUUCAUCAGCAUUUUUUCAUUUCUAUUCACUAUUUUGAUGAGUGGCCACUGCCCUAUCCCCAGGGUAAGGAUUUUGGACACUAAUUAUUCCACUCAACUCCACUCCCUCCUUAGCUAUUUUCUCCACUUAUGAUUAGCCAUAUCUUUGUCAUUGUCUAGCUAGUGCCUAAUAGCGUACAAAUCGUUCCAUUUAUUGGGAUACCGUGUCUUCAGGAAAUCGAUGGAGAUAUGUUUUGGUUCCAAGUACGUUGAUUUUGUGUCAACAACUAAUUAGUUAUAGAGGAGUUG
rnacentral:lncRNA from 1 species